rnacentral:rRNA from 1 species
AGCGAACGCUGGCGGCAGGCUUAACACAUGCAAGUCGAGCGGGCACUUUCGGGUGUCAGCGGCGGACGGGUGAGUAACGCGUGGGAACGUGCCCUCUGGUUCGGAAUAACUCAGGGAAACUUGAGCUAAUUCCGGAUACGCCCUUUUGGGGAAAGGCUUGCUGCCGGAGGAUCGGCCCGCGUCUGAUUAGCUAGUUGGUGAGGUAACGGCUCACCAAGGCGACGAUCAGUAGCUGGUCUGAGAGGAUGAUCAGCCACACUGGGACUGAGACACGGCCCAGACUCCUACGGGAGGCAGCAGUGGGGAAUAUUGGACAAUGGGCGCAAGCCUGAUCCAGCCAUGCCGCGUGAGUGAUGAAGGCCUUAGGGUUGUAAAGCUCUUUUAUCCGGGACGAUAAUGACGGUACCGGAGGAAUAAGCCCCGGCUAACUUCGUG